AACAAACAGGUGUUGUCACAGCUGACUCAUUUUCAACGUAAGGGAAAAUGGAUGAAUGUAAGGUUGGCAAAUCAAAUACAUCAGAACAUUUUCUACAGUUCAUAGGUUUGUGAACUUCAUAUGUCAUUUACAGAAAGCUUAAAAGGAACCAUUUAAAGCGUUGUUAUACCAUUUUGCAGUUGUUGGGUGAAUCACAACAAAAGGCAAAUCUGCGUAACAUGAUUAUUGAUCCACGUUUAAGACAUGGCAGUUUUUAACAUUCCAGGAAAAGCAGACAUUUGUACAAAUGAAGCUUUUUUCAUUAACUAAGGAAGUUAAGAUAAAAAGAAAAAGAAUCAAGUCAUCUCUUAUUUCCACAAGCAUGUGAAGUAGUCAGGAUACAGUCCGUCACUAAUCUAAUUGUUUCUAGCCAACAGUCCUUUGAGUAAUGACAGCUGAGAUAUUUACUAGUGUUUGGAACAAAAGUGGCUGUUAGUACAAGUGAAGUUGAAUGCUGCAGAAACAAUGAAUCGAGAGGAGGAAAUGUAAAAUGUACUGGUCAGAAAGUCGUGCAUAAGGGGGGUUAGGAGUUCAGUUUCCUGUGAAAAUCACUGUGUGUUGGCAGCUCACGUAAAGCUACCCGUUUGUGUGCUGAAACAAACAAUCUGACUAAACUGGCUCUGCUAAGGCAUUCUGCCCAGUGUGGCUGCAUCACUCAGGGGCUUUUUCAAUGUACUUUUCAUAAAUUAGCAAAAAUGAACAAAUUAGUCCUUUUGUCCACUCAGAGUGUUUGAAAGUCACGUAAUCUUCUAUGGACAAACACCUGAUGGAACAGUUUGGGCAAUCUGUCACACUGGUUGGCACCACAAAAUCAACACAAUUGCGGUGAAUCAGCAAAUACUGCAGGUUAAGCCGUCUCCCAAUUUUAGUACUUAGUUAAAGGGGAUGAGCAGAGGUUGGAUCCAUGACUGGAUCUUUCAGAUCAAUCAGAAGUGGAUAAGGCACCUGGUAGAUAGUACAUGGCUAUAGCUUUAGGGCUGCCGAUCCCCAGAGCCAUUCAUGAACACCUUUUGGAACAGUGGAAGGACACAUGAGAAAAGUCAGGGAGUCAUGUGGCGUUGAGAUAGAGAUGCACCACUACAGGAUGGACCAGGGCAACAAACUGAUGGAAGGAUUGCUGCAAAGUCAAUGACACGACACAACAACUCUCCACUGUUCUCAGUGAGUGAAUGACUCUGCUGAGUUUUCUAAGACGGAAAACCUUUUAACCAGUUUUCAGUUGGAAUCUUUAUGGUUGAUAUGGAAUUUAUAUUUAUAAUUGGAUU